GUUCAGAGGAGGUUCUUCUGAGGCUGCUGCCAGUGGUCAAAGCCUCCAACAAAGCUCUACUCAGUGGCUGUAACCUGUCAGACAGAAGCUGUGAAGCUCUGUCCUCAGUUCUCAGAUCCCAGUCCUGCAGUCUGAUACAUCUGGAUCUAAGCAACAAUGACCUGAAGGAUUCAGGAGUGAAGAUCCUGUCAGAUGGACUGAAGAGUCCAGGAUGCAGACUGGACACUCUCAGAUUGUCAGGAUGUCUGAUCACAGAGGAAGGAUGUU